rnacentral:lncRNA from 1 species
UUAGGAUUUAGAAUUUGGAUUAGGGUUUGGUUUAGGAUUUAGGAUUUGGAUUAGGAUUUGAUUAGGGUUUGAUUUAGGAUUUAGGAUUUGGUUUAGGAUUUGGUUAAGAUUUGGUUUAGGAUUUGAUUGAGGUUUGAUUUAAGGUUUGUUUAGGAUUUGAUUUAGGAUUUAGGAUUUUAUUAGGAUUUAAGAUUUCAUUAGUUUUGGCCUAAAGUUUGAAUGAAGUUCAAUAGGAUUUUAACUAGAAUUAAAUUAAGAUUGAAUUGAGAUAUAUUUGAGUGAUAUUUGUGAUCCUUCUAAUAUUUUUUUAAGAAUUCUUAUUGUUUGUUUGAAAUUUCUUUGAGGUUUUUUUGAAUUUGAUUAAGCUUGCUUAGUAUUAUUAUGGUCUAAUUAGAGCAUUGUUAAUAUUCUAUUAGAA